AGUGAACGCUGGCGGUAGGCCUAACACAUGCAAGUCGAACGGCAGCACAGUAAGAGCUUGCUCUUACGGGUGGCGAGUGGCGGACGGGUGAGGAAUACAUCGGAAUCUACUUUUUCGUGGGGGAUAACGUAGGGAAACUUACGCUAAUACCGCAUACGACCUACGGGUGAAAGCAGGGGAUCUUCGGACCUUGCGCGAUUGAAUGAGCCGAUGUCGGAUUAGCUAGUUGGCGGGGUAAAGGCCCACCAAGGCGACGAUCCGUAGCUGGUCUGAGAGGAUGAUCAGCCACACUGGAACUGAGACACGGUCCAGACUCCUACGGGAGGCAGCAGUAGGGAAUAUUGGACAAUGGGCGCAAGCCUGAUCCAGCCAUACCGCGUGGGUGAAGAAGGCCUUCGGGUUGUAAAGCCCUUUUGUUAGGAAAGAAAAGCAGCAGGUUAAUACCCCGCUGUUCUGACGGUACCCAAAGAAUAAGCACCGGCUAACUUCGUG
rnacentral:rRNA from 1 species